rnacentral:rRNA from 1 species
UACGAAGGGGGCUAGCGUUGCUCGGAAUGACUGGGCGUAAAGGGCGCGUAGGCGGUUUGCAUAGUCAGACGUGAAAUUCCUGGGCUUAACCUGGGGGCUGCGUUUGAUACAUGCAGGCUUGAGUUCGGAAGAGGGUCGUGGAAUUCCCAGUGUAGAGGUGAAAUUCGUAGAUAUUGGGAAGAACACCGGUGGCGAAGGCGGCUCACUGGUCCGGUACUGACGCUGAGGUGCGAAAGCGUGGGGAGCAAACAGG